rnacentral:tRNA from 1 species
CAAGGCGUAGCUUAAUUUAAAGCAUCUUGCUUACACCAAGAAAAUACCUGCUUAAACCAGGUCGUCUUGA